UUUGGCAUGCACCUGGCAUACAAUGUAGAAAACUGUGUUUGCAAAGCAACAGCUACAUUGUCUGCUGGGUUUCAUGCUGAAUUG
rfam:Xenopus laevis strain J chromosome 2L, whole genome shotgun sequence.